UACGUAGGUGGCAAGCGUUGUCCGGAAUUAUUGGGCGUAAAGCGCGCGCAGGCGGUUCUUUAAGUCUGAUGUGAAAGCCCACGGCUCAACCGUGGAGGGUCAUUGGAAACUGAGGAACUUGAGUACAGAAGAGGAAAGCGGAAUUCCACGUGUAGCGGUGAAAUGCGUAGAGAUGUGGAGGAACACCAGUGGCGAAGGCGGCGUUCUGGUCGUGUAACUGACGCUGAGGCGCGAAAAGCGUGGGGAGCAAACAGG
rnacentral:rRNA from 1 species